AAUUAUGGUGGACUGGACAAGGCUGAUUUCGGUCAGGCCGUUUCCUUGAGUGCGGUAGUUCCUAACCUCGUUCAGUUCACCACUCGA
rnacentral:antisense_RNA from 1 species